GGAUGUUGGCUUAGAAGCAGCCAUCAUUUAAAGAAAGCGUAAUAGCUCACUGGUCGAGUCGGCCUGCGCGGAAGAUGUAACGGGGCUAAACCAUGCACCGAAGCUGCGGCAGCGACGCUUAUGCGUUGUUGGGUAGGGGAGCGUUCUGUAAGCCUGCGAAGGUGUGCUGUGAGGCAUGCUGGAGGUAUCAGAAGUGCGAAUGCUGACAUAAGUAACGAUAAAGCGGGUGAAAAGCCCGCUCGCCGGAAGACCAAGGGUUCCUGUCCAACGUUAAUCGGGGCAGGGUGAGUCGACCCCUAAGGCGAGGCCGAAAGGCGUAGUCGAUGGGAAACAGGUUAAUAUUCCUGUACUUGGUGUUACUGCGAAGGGGGGACGGAGAAGGCUAUGUUGGCCGGGCGACGGUUGUCCCGGUUUAAGCGUGUAGGCUGGUUUUCCAGGCAAAUCCGGAAAACUAAGGCUGAGGCGUGAUGACGAGGCACUACGGUGCUGAAGCAACAAAUGCCCUGCUUCCAGGAAAAGCCUCUAAGCAUCAGGUAACAUCAAAUCGUACCCCAAACCGACACAGGUGGUCAGGUAGAGAAUACCAAGGCGCUUGAGAGAACUCGGGUGAAGGAACUAGGCAAAAUGGUGCCGUAACUUCGGGAGAAGGCACGCUGAUAUGUAGGUGAAGCGACUUGCUCGUGGAGCUGAAAUCAGUCGAAGAUACCAGCUGGCUGCAACUGUUUAUUAAAAACACAGCACUGUGCAAACACGAAAGUGGACGUAUACGGUGUGACGCCUGCCCGGUGCCGGAAGGUUAA
rnacentral:rRNA from 1 species